UACGGGGGGGGCAAGCGUUGUUCGGAAUUACUGGGCGUAAAGCGUGCGCAGGCGGUUUUGUAAGUCAGAUGUGAAAUCCCCGGGCUUAACCUGGGAACUGCGUUUGAAACUACAAGGCUAGAGUGUGGCAGAGGGGGGUGGAAUUCCACGUGUAGCAGUGAAAUGCGUAGAGAUGUGGAGGAAUACCGAUGGCGAAGGCAGCCCCCUGGGAUAACACUGACGCUCAUGCACGAAAGCGUGGGGAGCAAACAGG
rnacentral:rRNA from 1 species